GACGAACGCUGGCGGCGUGCUUAACACAUGCAAGUCGAACGGGAGAUCAAUGAAAGCUUGCUGAUUUGGUCUUUAGUGGCGGACGGGUGAGUAACGCGUGAGGACUUGUCCCAGACAGGGGGACAACAGAUGGAAACGUCUGCUAAUACCCCAUAAGCCGAGAGGUAAAAGGAGCAAUCCGGUCAGGGAGAGACUCGCGUUCUAUCAGCUAGUUGGUGGGGCAACGGCCCACCAAGGCGAAGACGGAUAGCCGGACUGAGAGGUCGAACGGCCACAUUGGAACUGAGAUACGGUCCAAACUCCUACGGGAGGCAGCAGUGGGGAAUAUUGGGCAAUGGGGGCAACCCUGACCCAGCGACGCCGCGUGAGUGAAGAAAUCCCUCGGGAUGUAAAGCUCUGUUGUACGGGAAGAUAAUGACGGUACCGUACGAGGAAGCCCCGGCAAACUACGUG
rnacentral:rRNA from 1 species